UACGUAGGGGGCAAGCGUUGUCCGGAGUUACUGGGCGUAAAGCGCACGCAGGCGGUCUCUUAAGUUUGGAGUGACAGUUGGUGGCUUAACUGCCAAAGUGCUUCGAAAACUGAGAGACUUGAGGGCUUCAGAGGGACACGGAAUCCGGGUGGAGUGGUGAAUGCGUAGAGAUCCGGAGGAACACCAAAGGCGAAGGCAGUGUCCUGGGGAGUACCUGACGCUCAGGUGCGAAAGCCAGGGAGGCGAACGGG
rnacentral:rRNA from 1 species